GAUGCAUUGGUGCUUCGUGUUCCAAAACCAAAAAUCUAAGACAGGAGGAAUCCACAUCAUCUUUGCCCGAUUCCUGACAAAGACCCACGACGGAGGGUGCAGCUCCGUCCAAAAUCGGUGGAAGACGAUCACCCCCUACGCUACAUCAUAACAGUUUACCAAGAAAAAGCAAUUUUCAUCGAAACACUCCUGCGAGACGCUCGGCAGCAGGAUUUGCAGCUGAACCUUCAAUUGAAUAUUUUGUGCCGCGCAGCAUGAGUGAAUUCGAUCUAUCUAUCGCUACGGAAUCACCUCCAUUACCGAAUUUCAUGCCAUUAACUGUAAGGGCACCGAGGAAAAUGUCCACUAAUUCCACAGCAAAACAAAAGGAAAAAAUGGUUACCUUUGAAGAUGAAAUGUCCUCCAGAAGAGAACCAUCCGCAGAUCUCCAAGACGUGUUCAUGUGACAAAAGGGAUAACAAUUACCAAAAGACGUUAAGCUGUCCGACUUGGGCAACUUAG